CGCCUUGCCAGCCCGCUCAGAAACUUAAGGAAUUGACGGGGGCCCGCACAAGCGGUGGAGCAUGUGGUUUAAUUCGAUGAUACGCGAGGAACCUUACCUGGGCUCAAAUGUAUGUUGACGUAUUCUGAAAGGGAUACUUCUUCGGACAAUAUACAAGGUGCUGCAUGGUUGUCGUCAGCUCGUGCCGUGAGGUGUCGGGUUAAGUCCCAUAACGAGCGCAACCCCUACCUUUAGUUGCCAUCAGGUAAUGCUGGGGACUCUAAAGGAACUGCCUACGCAAGUAGUGAGGAAGGCGGGGAUGACGUCAAAUCAGCACGGCCCUUACGUCCAGGGCUACACACGUGCUACAAUGGCCGAUACAGAGGGCAGCUACCUGGUGACAGGAUGCAAAUCUCCAAAGUCGGUCUCAGUUCGGAUCGGAGUCUGCAACCCGACUCCGUGAAGUUGGAUUCGCUAGUAAUCGCGCAUCAGCCAUGGCGCGGUGAAUACGUUCCCGGGCCUU
rnacentral:rRNA from 1 species